rnacentral:misc_RNA from 1 species
GGAAAAAGUAUUGAAAGCUCUAAUAAAGAGGUCCUCCUAUAUCAUGUUUAAACUUUUUUGCAUAUGUGUACAUAGUUUGAACACAAAGUGAAGAGAUGGUAGCAAUGAGAAAGCACAUAUACGGACAAGAUCGAAUGUCAAAAGCAUAUGUGUAGCUAAGCAAAAUGGCGUAUCUCUGGGACUUCAUCAUGGGGGCGGUGAGCAGCUGAACUAAUAUGAUUAUAUGGAGCUUUAGGAAACUGAUGUUUCACUUGUAAAUCCCAAAUAGGUGUCACCCAUAGAUCUUCUUUUCCGUAAAUGAGACAGACCAGUACACUGUUCAUUCGACACCCAGUCAGUGCCUCUUUAAAAUUUAGUUGUCCCUGAGGAGCGAACAUUAUUGAAGCAAGGGAUGCAGCUGCUGCAGGGUGUUCUGUUACCUCAAGAAUACUAGAGAAAACUUUAUCUACUUUUGUGGUAUGAUCAGCGUAAACUUGUUUAAGCACCUCUGCGAUACUCUCGGGAGCACUAAUUUUCUGCCAUACAAGUUCUGUGAGCUUUCUGAUAUUGGAGGGCAGAGGAAAAGUACCAGCCCAUGGAAAUAAUCUAGAUAAUCUCGGAGAUCUAACAGGAUUAGGAAGAAAUCCCCAAAAAGGCGUAGCAUUCAGCAAGGUUACACCUUUCACUAAUUGAGGGUAGUAUGCAGCAAAGUAGAGGGCAACAUAUCCACCAAGUGAAUUUCCCACAAUGUAGACUGGUUCCUUAAUAACCUCUUCGAUGAAAUAGCGUACUUGCUCCCUCCAUAAGUCAAUAGAAUAGACAAGUUCUUUUGCCCAAGGUUCUACUUCAUCCCCCAAACCCCAGAGAACAUUGUUUCCAUCACCUUCCGAUUCAUUUAAUCUUUUUGACCGCGAAGUUGGAUCCUCACUAGGUAAUGACUUUCCCUGUCCAAUAAAAUCCAAUGCCCAUAUUCUGUUAUCACGACCAAGAUCCUUUAGCUGUUUUUCAUAGUGAAAGGAACCAACACCAAAACCAGGAAGAAAAAGUAUUGGCGCGGAGUUAACAUUUUGACAUCCAGAUUUCUCAUAAUGAACAUUCAGUUUUGGCUUCCAUUCCCACAAACAGCUAUCAAUCACAGCAACAGCAUCGCCUUUAGCUUCACUUGGUAAACUAGGAAUCAUAACCUUUGGUACUGAUUUACCUCUACUAGUCACACCUUCUGUACCGACUUUCCCAUCCACGACAUCUGUGUUAUAGCUUUCAUUCAAGAGACUUGAGUCAACAACACUGUCAACCCCCUUAACAGAAGCGACAGUGCAAGAUCUCCGCUUCCUAUUUUUCUCUACGCUAUAAACAUCUAAACCAGAACACAAUCUUCUUUCUUUUAGUCUAGAAAACAUUGUCUGAUUUGAAAUUAGGCAUUUUUGAAUCACAUUCGGUUUAACAUUUACAACGCAGUAAUAGGGUGUCGAAUAGAAAGAACAAAAUUCCAUCCCAGAGUCAGCUUUCUAAAAUCUAAAAUGAAUACCUUUAAUCAGUUUUCUAAGAUAAUUAUGAGCAAAAUCUC